rnacentral:rRNA from 1 species
UACAGAGGAUGCAAGCGUUAUCCGGAAUGAUUGGGCGUAAAGCGUCUGUAGGUGGCUUUUUAAGUCCGCCGUCAAAUCCCAGGGCUCAACUCUGGACAGGCGGUGGAAACUACCAAGCUGGAGUACGGUAGGGGCAGAGGGAAUUUCCGGUGGAGCGGUGAAAUGCGUAGAUAUCGAGAGGAACACCUGCGGCGAAGGCGGGUUGCUGGGCUGACACUGACGCUGAACUGCGAAAGCUAGGGUAGCAAACGGG